CAGCCGCCGCGGUAAUACGAAGGGUGCAAGCGUUAAUCGGAAUUACUGGGCGUAAAGCGUGCGUAGGCGGUUUGUUAAGUCUGUUGUGAAAUCCCCGGGCUCAACCUGGGAAUGGCAAUGGAUACUGGCAAGCUAGAGUGUGUCAGAGGAUGGUGGAAUUCCCGGUGUAGCGGUGAAAUGCGUAGAGAUCGGGAGGAACAUUAGUGGCGAAGGCGGCCAUCUGGGACAACACUGACGCUGAGGCACGAAAGUGUGGGGAGCAAGCAGGAUUAGAUACCCCCGUAGUCCCUGUCUCUUAUAA
rnacentral:rRNA from 1 species